UUUCGUAAAACAAUUUUAGGCCGCCUUAAUGGGCCUACCAUAGGCCCAGCCCAACUGCGGUAUCUUCGUCAUGUUCUGGGUUAGAGUUUGGGGACGAAGAUGGCUGACUGUGGCUGGACUGGAAACGAUGAUAAUGGAAGAAACGUGGAUCGGAGUAGAAAAAUCCAGAGGCUCUGAAGAUAGCUUUUUAUGAUGAUUGAUGGAAAUGGAAGCGAAGCAUUUGACGGAAUGCGAGAAAUUCUAGUCCGCCUCUGUCGUCAUUGCCCAGUAAACCGCUUUUUUCUUUUCCGUCUCUUUCUCUGAUAAUCAUAGAUCUCUGAUUGUGAAUCCAAUUCGAGUAGUUGUUGAAUUAUGCUUGACAUUAAGGUUCAAUUUGGUAAGCUUUGAAUUUUUGGGGGUUUUGGUCUAGCUAAACGUACGAUCGCCCUAAAAUACCACCAUUUUUCCAAUUACCAUUGGAAGUAAUUGCAAAACAGGAGCUGAUUUUGCURUAUCAGAAGUGGAAAUUUUCCUUGAAUUCUAUCAUCGUGCCCUUCUCUCGUUUAUCUCAUGUUUUCCCUUGAUGGGUUUGUUAGAUUCCCAAUUAUGGACAUAAGUUUGCUCCCUUCUUCGAGGUGGAGUAUCAACAAAACCGGGGGAAAUUACACAGAAACAACCUUAGUUCCAUUUACAUUGAGCAACAAUUUUCCUAGAGGAACUAGUUGGUGAGGGGGCAACUUUUGUUCUUAUCAAUCUGAACACAAACAAAAAUAUGGAAUGUUGUAAAAGAAACAGUGCAUCUACUGUAAAGUGUAAACUGAAAGCAUGGAACGCGUUGUACGAUCAAAUAUUGCUGUUCAGAGAUGGCGUUCUUCAAUUCCAAUUGGACCUCUGUAUUAUGCUGACUACUGGGGUCCGUACACCCACAGGUGUGCUCUUAAACAACUACCCCCAACCAUAAAUUAGAAGUACAGGAUUUACAUUUCAGAGGGCAAAAUUGUCCAACACCAAGAUUCUCCUGUCCACAUCAGCAUUAUGCCGAAGAUCUCGAGACUCGGGGAAGUAGAGAAGGAGGAUAGCCUUCUAGCAAUGGUUUUUCAAGGAUAAGAUCAAAAAGAUUGCUUCUGCCAAAAUAAAGCUGCACUUAAUACCCUAAAUCCAGUGUAAAUGACACCAAAAGUCAGUACUUGCUUAAGUCAAUGCAUAUCUCUCACCAAGUCACCAAUAAGGUCACACAACGGCACAUACUUGAUCGAGUAUCGUGAUUAAGAGGUAAAUUUGAAAUAUGACCAUUAAAAUUAUAGACUCGACCACCAUAGUUUGAUCUAGUGGCUUUAGGAGAAUGGGUUCAAGCUCCAUGGUUGUCACUUGUAAUGAAAGUACGGGUAAUUGUUUCGUGAGAUUAGUCGAGAUGCGUAUAAAUUGGUCGAAAAUAGCAGGAUGGAGGGGAGAGAGAAGUAGAUAGUUGAGAAAGAGGAAUUGAAGGAGUUUCCAUUCGUAGACAUUGAUGGGCAAUAAAUGAAUAAAGAACUGAGUUUACUUA